UUUGGAUUUGCAUGUUAUUGAUCUUGAAUUGGAGCUUAAAAUACUAGCUAAAUUAUACAUGUUGGACUUGAUUUUUGACUUAGGAGAAAACUGGCGUUUCUACACUGUCAUAUGUUAAAACUACCAGAUUUAGCUCUAAGAGCCGUAGUUUGUUAGUAUCGCCGCAGUUUGUGGGCGGUGAAUAUCCAGAAUAGUGUAGAAUAUAUUUACGCUAGUGCUGAGGUAUCGAGUGUAUUUUUACAGCAGUAUUUAGGCUGUUCCGGAUUGUCGGUGUCGUUGAGGUUGACGGUGGACCCAGAUUGCUGUUUUUGCAUCAGAUUCUGCCGAAGGCACGUGAGUUCAGCUGUUAGACUCUGUUUACUUGACUAUAGCCUAUGAGAGCCUGAUUGAGCUUGACAGAGACAUCCUUGCAUACUCGGUUGGGUAGCACCCAUGAGUGCCACUCCAGAGUCGAGCUUUGUGCGUUUGCGUUGGUGUCGUUUUGUCCUAGUUGGACUUGCUCUCCACUGAUGACCUGGUUUGGUGUCAAUUAGUGUAGCUUCGACAGGCGAAUUGUUGUGUUAGAGCAUGAUAGUAUGGUGGCAUUUAGUUGUAGAUUUAUUCCAGCCUUCCUUACUAUCCCUACUUACUUCUGUAGACUUAGUGGGUGAGCCAUUGAGGUCGGUAGCGGUGCCCACUGAGGACUAUUUCUUUUUGCAGUAGUUCUCAUGCCUAGUUGUUGAAACCUUUUGCAGAGCCAUCUUCUUCAACUGCUGUUGCUGCUGAGUCUGAUCGUGGAAAGGGCGUGGCGAGUUAGAGCCCUUCCUGACGAGUUGCAGAGCUAGAGGAGUAUCAGCUAUAGAUAGUUGUAGUUUUUGGGUUAUGAUACAUACUAAUGCUUGUAUCUCGCUGGAGCGAGUAUUUUUUUGUUUACCUGAAUGUGACGUACGUAUAGUGAACCUCUGAUGUUAUAUAUGUUUUAUUUCGGCAGCUCUAUACUGCUGGUUGUAGUGUUGUAUGAUUACAGGUACACCUAUCGCUUCGUAUAUAGGAAAAGUUUUUUUUAUACGACGGAUUUGUCGGCGUGCCCGGGGAAACGAGUAAUCCGGGGCGUGACAGUUUGCAUUUUCUACAGAUAGUUAGUGUUGGUUAGCGAUAGUAUAAUAACAUAUAGUUGUAGAGUUUUUUCAGCUUCCUUUACUAUUCUUGAGCAUACCUUCUGUAGACUUAGUGGGUGAGCCGUUGAGGUCGGUAGCAGUUCCCACUGAGGACUACUUCUUUUUGCAAUAGUUCUCAUACCUAGUUGUUGACCCCUUUUUGCAGAGCCUCCUUCUUCGGCUGUUGCUGUUGCUGUUGCUGAUUCUGAUCGUGGAAAGGGAGUCGCGAGCUAGAUCCCUUCCAGUUUUGUUGCUGCUUAAAGGAGUACCAACUACAAGUAGUUUUGGAUUUUUGGGUCAUGUACAUGCUGAUGUUAGAUCCUCGCUGGAGCGAGUAUUUUGUAUCUGGAGACUAUGUAUGUAUUGUGAACCCGAUGCUUAUUUUUAUAUGUUACAGUUCUGUUAGCAGCUCUAUACUAUUAGUUGUAGUUUUGUAUGAUUAUAGGUACAGGUACAGCUAUCGCUUCGUAUAUAGGAAAAUUUUUUUUUAUACGGCGGAUUUGUCGGCGUGCCCGAGGAAACGAGUAAUCCGGGGCGUGACAUCGGAAUAGCUUGGAUUUUUGAUAGAAAUUUCUAUUCACUACCUAAAUAAAGAUCAAUAACUCCGAUCUUAAAUUGAAAGAUCCGAUCAUCUAUUUUUAGGAUGUCGUUCUAUACCCCCUUGAUAGACUUUAUAAUGAUUUCGAAAAAUUACGAAAUUUAUUUUCUAGAAGUUUCAAAUACUCUAAAUCAUGUUUAAUGGUGUGGAUCCUCGAUUUGAAGAGCCCAACAGCGAAAACAACUUAUGAGUACGAAGGGCUGUAUACUCAUAAGAGUAUAGUAGCCCUACUAUAUAUAUAUAUAUAUAUAUAUAUAUAUAUAUAUAUAUAUAUAUAUAUAUAUAUAUAUAUAUAUAACUAGGCUGGAANUUUUUUGAAAAAAUAAUUAGCAAAGUACACAUUUUCAAAAUAAAAAGUAUUAGUACAAAUUAGUAAAGAUUUUUUUUUAGAGAAAAUAUAAUAGCAUUCUGUUACUGUUCACUUCGUUUAUCUUUUUAAAGAGAAUAAACUCAUUUAGAACUAUUUAUUUAGUGUUUAAUUUGAGUGCACUUCGAUGUGACACGCACCGCAAGACCAAAUUAUCUCCACGUGCUUGUUUGACUAUGUGGGCUAAUGCUAGAAACGAAAGAUGCAAACAAAUUUAAUUUGGUUGAGCUAUGAAAAGCACUUGUUACUAUCAAUUAGGUUGGUGAACUUCCCAAUGAAUUGAGGUCUAAAUAAUGUAGACAUAAUAUAUAUAUAUAUAUAUGUUUUAUUAGAUCGAGUAUCUAUAUAGUGUUCUAGGGAGUCAAAAUCUAGUUUACUAGCUCAUUCAUUGGCUUCCAUGCUAUAUAUAUAGGUUUCCAUGGUUUCUUAGCAUCAAAGAAGAGAAAAAAAUAAAAAGGAGGGAUCUAAUUAUGCACUAAUAAUAUAGAUCUAAUCAUAUUCAUUUUUGAAAAAAAAAAAACUUAUAUAUAUAUAUAUACCACAUAUAUAUUUUUAAGAACACAAUUCUACUGUUUGAAGUGCAGAAAUUUACAAUAUGCAGAAUUAUAAAAUACAAAAAUUAUAUCUAUACUUCCUAUGAGUAAUUAUUUUUUGGUGUUUUCUUACCGUGAUUCUAUUAAAUUAGAAUGUUUGUUCAAAUAGGAAAAGAUUUUUAAUACCUAAGGCAAUGUUUUUUUAUUGUGUUUUAUUUUUUUUAUCUUUUUAAAUAAAGUUUUGUAUAUCAAAAGAUAUAGAAGUGAACAGUGUAUUGCUUGCAAUGCUUUUAUCCAAAAUAUUUACUUAACAAUAAAAAAUUAAAUCUUAAAAAUAAUUUUUUUUUCUUUCAUUUUUUUUUAAAAAAUUGUCAUUCAUUACUGGACUGGAUACAUUGUAAGCUAACUCACUAUAGAAAUAAAAAAAAAAAAGUUUUUUCUUCCAAUACAUCAAAUUAUAUAUAUAUAUAUAUAUAUAUAUAUAAUGUUAAAAAAUAUAAAAAUGAUAAUGAUACCAAACAAGUCCUGAGUUUUAUAUUUUUAUAUUUUUGAUUCUCUUAUUUUACAUUUCUUAAACAAGGCUGCCAAGUGACAACUGAGUUGCAUGUUUGUCUCUGAUCUAAGCUUGAACAGCAGUAACAGGAAAAUUCAUAAUUCAUAAUUACAAUAUUUGAAAAUACAACAAUGAUUAAUAUGAUUAAUCUAUGGAAACAAUGAUUUUGAGGUCCCACCUUAAAAGGGACACAACAACAACUUCAACUUAGCCCCCACAUCUUUCAAAUAAAUACAAGUUGUUAGAUUAAAAAAAUGAGCAGGAAAAUGAAAGGGAAAGUUCCUUUGAAUAGCUUUAUACAUAUGGGCCUUACUGAAGGAAAAAAAUUGCAAUGGACCCCCAUAUAUAUAUAUAUAGAGAGAGAGAGAGAGAGAGAGAGAGAGAGAGAGAAAGAGAGAGUGAGGCUAGUAUGCUUCUGGAAGCACAGAGUGCUCCGUGCUUUCAAGUCGUUUUCGACGUUAGGACUUUCGAAUCGAUGAUCGGCUUCGUUAGAGUGCCUAGUGAUUGAAGGGGCUCAAAAUCAACGGCUGAAAAUAAAAAUCUUACAAAAUUUAUUUUCUCGGUACUUUAAAUACUCUAGAUCACUCUAUAUAUGUAAUAUACUGAAUCUUAGCAAAUUAGCAAGGUUACAGUAUAAGUUAUGCUUGAUUGAGUUGGAGACGUUUUGCGCAAAAUAGACGUAAAAGCGGACUUUGAAACUUAAGAUUUAUAUUGUAGAGGACUAAAGUUGAAUGCUAGAGUAGGUGAGGGGCUUUUGGACAAUUGUUUCCUUUCAACCUUAUCCCCACCGCCUUAAUUAGGAUAGGGAGGCUGUAAGGGAUUUAAUUAACUUUCUUCUCUCUUUCACUCUAAUUUAGCUCGUGGGCACGAUGGAGAGCUCGAGCUCGGGAGAUUUUCGUUGUCGUUUCGGAGAGCCGUUCGAGCGUGCGUUCGUCGUGGUAGCGCCGUUGGAGAAAAUUGACUUUUCUACGCCGCCAUUUGAACAAACUAUCAGAUUUAGCUUUAGGAGCCGUAGUUUGAUUGUAUUAUCGCAGUUUGUGGGCGGUGGAUACCCAGAAUAGUGUAGAAUAUAUUUACACUCGUGCUGAAGUGCCGAGUGUAUUUUUACAGCAGUGUUUAGGCUGUUCAGAAUUGUCGGGUGCUGUUGAGGUUGACGGUGGACCCAGAUUGCUAUUUUUGCAUCAGCUUGUGCCGAGGG
rnacentral:lncRNA from 1 species